rnacentral:rRNA from 1 species
CCUACGGGUGGCAGCAGUAGGGAAUGUUGCGCAAUGGGCGAAAGCCUGACGCAGCAACGCCGCGUGAUAGAGACGCACUUCGGGGUGUAAAGAUCUGUCAGUGGGGACGAAACGUGACGGUACCCACAGAGGAAGCACCGGCUAACUCCGUGCCAGCAGCCGCGGUAAUACGGGGGGUGCAAGCGUUGUCCGGAAUCAUUGGGCGGAAAGAGGUCGUAGGCGGCACGUAAAGUCUGGUGUUAAAGGCAGAGGCUCAACUUCUGUACGGCACUUGAUACUUGCGCGCUAGAAUGCGGUAGAGGUAACGGGACUUCCUGGUGUAGCGGUGAUAUGCUUCGAUAUCAGGAGG